rnacentral:rRNA from 1 species
CCCUUAGAUGUUCUGGGCCGCACGCGCGCUACACUGAUGCGUUCAACGAGUUUAUAACCUUGAUCGAUAGUUCUGGGUAAUCUUUUGAACUCGCAUCGUGCUAGGGAUAGAUUAUUGCAAUUAUUAAUCUUGAACGAGGAAUUCCUAGUAAACGCAAGUCAUCAGCUUGCAUUGAUUACGUCCCUGCCCUUUGUACACACCGCCCGUCGCACCUACCGAUUGAGUGGUCCGGUGAGGCUUUGGGAUCUGAGCGGAAAGAGCGUUUCGCUGUUUCUGCUCGGAAAACUCAGUCGAACCUUAUCAUUUAGAGGAAGGAGAAGUCGUAACA